rnacentral:rRNA from 1 species
GAUGAACGCUGGCGGCGUGCCUAAUACAUGCAAGUCGAGCGAACAGACGAGGAGCUUGCUCCUCUGACGUUAGCGGCGGACGGGUGAGUAACACGUGGAUAACCUACCUAUAAGACUGGGAUAACUUCGGGAAACCGGAGCUAAUACCGGAUAACAUGUUGAACCGCAUGGUUCAACAGUGAAAGACGGUCUUGCUGUCACUUAUAGAUGGAUCCGCGCCGCAUUAGCUAGUUGGUAAGGUAACGGCUUACCAAGGCAACGAUGCGUAGCCGACCUGAGAGGGUGAUCGGCCAAACUGGAACUGAGACACGGUCCAGACUCCUACGGGAGGCAGCAGUAGGGAAUCUUCCGCAAUGGGCGAAAGCCUGACGGAGCAACGCCGCGUGAGUGAUGAAGGUCUUCGGAUCGUAAAACUCUGUUAUUAGGGAAGAACAAAUGUGUAAGUAACUAUGCACGUCUUGACGGUACCUAAUCAGAAAGCCACGGCUAACUACGUG